AAAUUGUACUACUGGUACUUGUUUAUUUAUAGAAUAUAGAUCGACCGUCUAUAGUAAUAUAGAUAGAGAUAAACAAGAGAAAUGAAAGAAGCCGAGUCUAAUAAACAGACAAGGGUUUGAACUCAGUCCUAUAGCUCAGUUGGUUAGAGCGCUACACUGAUAAUGUAGAGGUCGGCAGUUCAACUCUGCCUGGGACUACCAACAGAUAGAUAUUUUAUCUUGUAUGAUUGGGGGAUUAGCUCAGCUGGCUAGAGCAUCUGCCUUGCACGCAGAGGGUCAACGGUUCGAAUCCGUUAUUCUCCACUCCGAUACCGCAACCUAAGAGGCUUGCGUGUAAUCAAACGAUCUUUGACAUGAUGUACAGAAAAAAGUAAAUUUAGUAAGAGCUAAAAGUAUAUAUCG
rnacentral:tRNA from 1 species